GCUACAGGCUUAACACAUGCAAGUCGAGGGGCAGCAUGGUCCUAGCUUGCUAAGGCUGAUGGCGACCGGCGCACGGGUGAGUAACACGUAUCCAACCUGCCGUCUACUCUUGGCCAGCCUUCUGAAAGGAAGAUUAAUCCAGGAUGGCAUCAUGAGUUCACAUGUCCGCAUGAUUAAAGGUAUUUUCCGGUAGACGAUGGGGAUGCGUUCCAUUAGAUAGUAGGCGGGGUAACGGCCCACCUAGUCAACGAUGGAUAGGGGUUCUGAGAGGAAGGUCCCCCACAUUGGAACUGAGACACGGUCCAAACUCCUACGGGAGGCAGCAGUGAGGAAUAUUGGUCAAUGGGCGAUGGCCUGAACCAGCCAAGUAGCGUGAAGGAUGACUGCCCUAUGGGUUGUAAACUUCUUUUAUAAAGGAAUAAAGUCGGGUAUGCAUACCCGUUUGCAUGUACUUUAUGAAUAAGGAUCGGCUAACUCCGUGCCAGCAGCCGCGGUAAUACGGAGGAUCCGAGCGUUAUCCGGAUUUAUUGGGUUUAAAGGGAGCGUAGAUGGAUGUUUAAGUCAGUUGUGAAAGUUUGCGGCUCAACCGUAAAAUUGCAGUUGAUACUGGAUGUCUUGAGUGCAGUUGAGGCAGGCGGAAUUCGUGGUGUAGCGGUGAAAUGCUUAGAUAUCACGAAGAACUCCGAUUGCGAAGGCAGCCUGCUAAGCUGCAAC
rnacentral:rRNA from 1 species